ACGGAAGGCUGCAGUGGGGAAUAUUGGACAAUGGGGGAAACCCUGAUCCAGCGACGCCGCGUAAGUGAAGAAGUAUUUCGGUAUGUAAAGCUCUAUCAGCAGGGAAGAUAAUGACGGUACCUGACUAAGAAGCCCCGGCUAACUACGUGCCAGCAGCCGCGGUAAUACGUAGGGGGCAAGCGUUAUCCGGAUUUACUGGGUGUAAAGGGAGCGUAGACGGUAUUGCAAGUCUGAUGUGAAAACCCGGGGCUCAACCCCGGGACUGCAUUGGAAACUGUCUAACUAGAGUGCAGGAGGGGUAAGUGGAAUUCCUAGUGUAGCGGUGAAAUGCGUAGAUAUUAGGAGGAACACCGGUGGCGAAGGCGGCUUACUGGACUGUAACUGACGUUGAGGCUCGAAAGCGUGGGGAGUAAACAGGAUUAGAUACCCUGGUA
rnacentral:rRNA from 1 species